rnacentral:rRNA from 1 species
UACGGAGGAUCCAAGCGUUAUCCGGAAUUACUGGGCGUAAAGAGUUGCGUAGGUGUCUUGUUAGGUUUCUGUUUAAAGGCCAAGGCUCAACCUUGGAAAAGAUAGAAAAACCGGCAGGAUUGAGCAUAGUAGGGGUACCUGGAAUUUCUAGUGUAGGAGUGAAAUCCGUAGAUAUUAGAAGGGACACCGAUGGCGUAGGCAGGGUACUGGGCUAUUGCUGACACUAAGGCACGAAAGCGUGGGGAGCGAACGGG